GUAAGAGUUUUGAUCAGUUAGGUGGGAGGCGGGAAAAGCGCAGCUGCUUGAAUAGUACUUAUUCAGAAACAGAGAUAGAGAUUUGUUUACAUCGAAUCAGAGGCAACUUAGGAAAUUAAUGAAAUCAUUAACAAAAUAUUUAAUCUCGUUUAUAGUGACAUUUAUAUAUAUAAGAUCUUGUCAAACUUAAACAAAACUUUUGAGAACCUUCUGAAAAUUCUAAUAGAUCUUUGGUCUAACAAUGGACGAAAUUGUUCCUAAUAAAUAAAUAUAUGUAUAAAUAAUAUGCAUACAUAUUAUUCAAGACGCGUAAAUUAUUGAAAAUUUCAGAAGAACCAAUGGACCAAUCACUAAAAGACAUUUAUGAAUUUAAGCUAUUUUUCUCCUAUACAAUAAAACAGACUUAUUUUAUUUAAAUUUAUUUCUAGGGUAUUCCCAGUCGUGCAUACCCAACCAGAACACUACAGCAUUGAGUGGUAUAGGGGCAGGUAUUUAUGUGCUUGCAACGAUUAGAGCUGAUUAGUGGGCCUAAUUGUAAAAUUCGAGAUUCGGAUGCGAGCACAUAGUAAAGCGGAUAUAUGUAUGUAUUAGAACGUGCAUAAAUUAAAAAACAAAAUGCCAAUUCAUAUUUGUUGAAUGGGGCCAUAAAAACGGAAACUAGAAAUAGAACUGAAACUGCAACUGAAUCAGCAGAAUGCCAAACCAAAGAAAUGGAACAGCUGAAAGAGUUGCAUAAUAGAUUUGUUUAUACUAUGAAAUGUCAAACGCGACGAAUUUCUUUUUAUGCAGAAUAUAAACUGAGCCCAGGCAACAGCUUAUUAGCAUGUGAAUUGAAUGAAUUGAAUUGAGCCCAUUAAUGGGUCAACUAACUGACCAACAAAUAAACAAUCCAAAUAUGAAUCCCACCAGACAUACAGUGAAAGCUCUGCUGACGGACAUCACCCUAGACCCCGGAAUUUUAGCGUAUGCUAAGAAGGGGGCAGCAUUAUUAUGAUAAUUAUUUAAAUAAUAAAUGUAUAAAAAAUA